AGGGCGCACGGUGGAUGCCUUGGCACUAGAAGCCGAUGAAGGACGUUACUAACGACGAUAUGCUUUGGGGAGCUGUAAGUAAGCUUUGAUCCAGAGAUUUCCGAAUGGGGAAACCCAGCAUGAGUUAUGUCAUGUUAUCGAUAUGUGAAUACAUAGCAUAUCAGAAGGCACACCCGGAGAACUGAAACAUCUUAGUACCCGGAGGAAGAGAAAGAAAAUUCGAUUCCCUUAGUAGCGGCGAGCGAAACGGGAAGAGCCCAAACCAACAAGCUUGCUUGUUGGGGUUGUAGGACACUCUAUACGGAGUUACAAAGGACGACAUUAGACGAAUCAUCUGGAAAGAUGAAUCAAAGAAGGUAAUAAUCCUGUAGUCGAAAAUGUUGUCUCUCUUGAGUGGAUCCUGAGUACGACGGAGCACGUGAAAUUCCGUCGGAAUCUGGGAGGACCAUCUCCUAAGGCUAAAUACUCUCUAGUGACCGAUAGUGAACCAGUACCGUGAGGGAAAGGUGAAAAGCACCCCGGAAGGGGAGUGAAACAGAACCUGAAACCGUGUGCUUACAAGUAGUCAGAGCCCGUUAAUGGGUGAUGGCGUGCCUUUUGUAGAAUGAACCGGCGAGUUACGAUUUGAUGCAAGGUUAAGCAGUAAAUGUGGAGCCGUAGCGAAAGCGAGUCUGAAUAGGGCGUUUAGUAUUUGGUCGUAGACCCGAAACCAGGUGAUCUACCCUUGGUCAGGUUGAAGUUCAGGUAACACUGAAUGGAGGACCGAACCGACUUACGUUGAAAAGUGAGCGGAUGAACUGAGGGUAGCGGAGAAAUUCCAAUCGAACCUGGAGAUAGCUGGUUCUCUCCGAAAUAGCUUUAGGGCUAGCCUCAAGUGAUGAUUAUUGGAGGUAGAGCACUGUUUGGACGAGGGGCCCCUCUCGGGUUACCGAAUUCAGACAAACUCCGAAUGCCAAUUAAUUUAACUUGGGAGUCAGAACAUGGGUGAUAAGGUCCGUGUUCGAAAGGGAAACAGCCCAGACCACCAGCUAAGGUCCCAAAAUAUAUGUUAAGUGGAAAAGGAUGUGGCGUUGCCCAGACAACUAGGAUGUUGGCUUAGAAGCAGCCAUCAUUUAAAGAGUGCGUAAUAGCUCACUAGUCGAGUGACACUGCGCCGAAAAUGUACCGGGGCUAAACAUAUUACCGAAGCUGUGGAUUGUCCUUUGGACAAUGGUAGGAGAGCGUUCUAAGGGCGUUGAAGCAUGAUCGUAAGGACAUGUGGAGCGCUUAGAAGUGAGAAUGCCGGUGUGAGUAGCGAAAGACGGGUGAGAAUCCCGUCCACCGAUUGACUAAGGUUUCCAGAGGAAGGCUCGUCCGCUCUGGGUUAGUCGGGUCCUAAGCUGAGGCCGACAGGCGUAGGCGAUGGAUAACAGGUUGAUAUUCCUGUACCACCUAUAAUCGUUUUAAUCGAUGGGGGGACGCAGUAGGAUAGGCGAAGCGUGCGAUUGGAUUGCACGUCUAAGCAGUAAGGCUGAGUAUUAGGCAAAUCCGGUACUCAUUAAGGCUGAGCUGUGAUGGGGAGAAGACAUUGUGUCUUCGAGUCGUUGAUUUCACACUGCCGAGAAAAGCCUCUAGAUAGAAAAUAGGUGCCCGUACCGCAAACCGACACAGGUAGUCAAGAUGAGAAUUCUAAGGUGAGCGAGCGAACUCUCGUUAAGGAACUCGGCAAAAUGACCCCGUAACUUCGGGAGAAGGGGUGCUCUUUAGGGUUAACGCCCAGAAGAGCCGCAGUGAAUAGGCCCAAGCGACUGUUUAUCAAAAACACAGGUCUCUGCUAAACCGUAAGGUGAUGUAUAGGGGCUGACGCCUGCCCGGUGCUGGAAGGUUAAGAGGAGUGGUUAGCUUCUGCGAAGCUACGAAUCGAAGCCCCAGUAAACGGCGGCCGUAACUAUAACGGUCCUAAGGUAGCGAAAUUCCUUGUCGGGUAAGUUCCGACCCGCACGAAAGGCGUAACGAUUUGGGCACUGUCUCAACGAGAGACUCGGUGAAAUCAUAGUACCUGUGAAGAUGCAGGUUACCCGCGACAGGACGGAAAGACCCCGUGGAGCUUUACUGUAGCCUGAUAUUGAAAUUCGGCACAGCUUGUACAGGAUAGGUAGGAGCCUUUGAAACGUGAGCGCUAGCUUACGUGGAGGCGCUGGUGGGAUACUACCCUAGCUGUGUUGGCUUUCUAACCCGCACCACUUAUCGUGGUGGGAGACAGUGUCAGGCGGGCAGUUUGACUGGGGCGGUCGCCUCCUAAAAGGUAACGGAGGCGCUCAAAGGUUCCCUCAGAAUGGUUGGAAAUCAUUCAUAGAGUGUAAAGGCAUAAGGGAGCUUGACUGCGAGACCUACAAGUCGAGCAGGGUCGAAAGACGGACUUAGUGAUCCGGUGGUUCCGCAUGGAAGGGCCAUCGCUCAACGGAUAAAAGCUACCCCGGGGAUAACAGGCUUAUCUCCCCCAAGAGUUCACAUCGACGGGGAGGUUUGGCACCUCGAUGUCGGCUCAUCGCAUCCUGGGGCUGUAGUCGGUCCCAAGGGUUGGGCUGUUCGCCCAUUAAAGCGGUACGCGAGCUGGGUUCAGAACGUCGUGAGACAGUUCGGUCCCUAUCCGUCGUGGGCGUAGGAAAUUUGAGAGGAGCUGUCCUUAGUACGAGAGGACCGGGAUGGACAUACCUCUGGUGUACCAGUUGUCGUGCCAACGGCAUAGCUGGGUAGCUAUGUGUGGACGGGAUAAGUGCUGAAAGCAUCUAAGCAUGAAGCCCCCCUCAAGAUGAGAUUUCCCAACUUCGGUUAUAAGAUCCCUCAAAGAUGAUGAGGUUAAUAGGUUCGAGGUGGAAGCAUGGUGACAUGUGGAGCUGACGAAUACUAAUCGAUCGAAGACUUAAUC
rnacentral:rRNA from 2 species